rnacentral:rRNA from 1 species
UACGUAGGUGGCAAGCGUUGUCCGGAUUUACUGGGCGUAAAGGGAGCGUAGGCGGACUUUUAAGUGGGAUGUGAAAUACCCGGGCUUAACCUGGGUGCUGCAUUCCAAACUGGGAGUCUAGAGUGCAGGAGGGGAAAGUGGAAUUCCUAGUGUAGCGGUGAAAUGCGUAGAGAUUAGGAAGAACACCGGUGGCGAAGGCGACUUUCUGGACUGUAACUGACGCUGAGGCUCGAAAGCGUGGGGAG